CCUACGGGAGGCAGCAGUGGGGAAUAUUGGACAAUGGGCGAAAGCCUGAUCCAGCAAUGCCGCGUGAGUGAUGAAGGCCUUCGGGUCGUAAAGCUCUUUUACCAGGGAUGAUAAUGACAGUACCUGGAGAAUAAGCUCCGGCUAACUCCGUGCCAGCAGCCGCGGUAAUACGGAGGGAGCUAGCGUUGUUCGGAAUUACUGGGCGUAAAGAGUACGUAGGCGGUUAUUCAAGUCAGAGGUGAAAGCCCGGGGCUCAACCCCGGAACUGCCUUUGAAACUAGAUAACUAGAGUCUUGGAGAGGUUAGUGGAAUUCCGAGUGUAGAGGUGAAAUUCGUAGAUAUUCGGAAGAACACCAGUGGCGAAGGCGACUAACUGGACAAGUACUGACGCUGAGGUACGAAAGCGUGGGGAGCAAACAGGAUUAGAUACCCUGGUAGUCCACGCCGUAAACGAUGAUAACUAGUUGUUCGGUCACUUGGUGACUGAGUGACGCAGCUAACGCAUUAAGUUAUCCGCCUGGGGAUACGGUCGCAAGNUUAAAACUCAAAGGAUUGACGGCUGAGACNGCGAGCGACACGAGGAGAG
rnacentral:rRNA from 1 species